CAUUGUGUGGAGCUCAGGGUGUUUGGGGCUAUGGGCAGGGUUGGGAGCAGUCACUCAUUUCCCAGAGCUCGGCUCAAUGGCAGCAGAAAGAUAAAGGGCCAGGAGAGAAGGAAGAAAGUGCCCUCCAUGCUAAUGUGCCAGCUCGGAAAUUGAAGUGACCUGCCAGGCAAGCAUUCUCGGAGCAAGGAUGACAUUUGCUGGUUGUUAUGAAGAUUGAACUACACACUAUCUGUCAUGGGAAGAAGGAAGCAGAAGAGGAAAAAGGCAGCCGGCUGGUCUUACCAGUAUCAGGCAUAGCCUGAAGCCCAGGUGGUCCCACAGUGUCUACCAGGUGGAAUGAGAAUCAUCAGCCUCCAAGUUCCGUGCGUGAGCUGCCCCGGUGCCCAGCGAGAGCGUGCAGUCUGCUUUUCCAGCUUACCCCCUUGCCCGGGAGUUUGGAGCCGCCCCUCCUAGGCCCAGAAGACAGCCCGAAUUCCUUAGACUGGUGUUUACGGCCUUUCCUGGGGUCGCACACGUGCAUUUUCCCUGCUUUUGCUUACAAUAUCCUCCUUCCCUCUUUCCAAAGAGGUCCUUGUUCCUCUUCUUUACUAUAUAUAAGCUCAAGGCCCAGUUCUUGAGGUUCAACAACUCUUUUUGAACCAUAUUCCCUGAUUUUCAACUUAUAUUACAACUAUAAGAUUCUUUCUCAUUGUUUAUGGCGCUAUCCUGAAAAUAGAAUCGACUGAGAUGUCUGAUACACAGUAGGAACUGAGCAAAGGUGGCUGCAAUCACACAUCUUGACUAUCUCUUACAAUCCACGUGGAGCCACACGAAUUUUAGCACAUUUCUUUUAUCUUUCAUCAGCAACAAGUGUGAACGUGUGCUAGACAGUGUGGUGGGUCCUAAAGGGACCAUGCUGAAGAAAAGGCAGUCAUUUUCCUUAGAGAACCUUCAACCAGUUGGGAUGAUGACCUAAUAAACAGCAGAUUACAGCACCACGUGGACAGUCCUAUCCAGGAGAUACUCAGCGUCCUGAGCCAACACUUCAGAGGACAGACAGAGGGGUCAGACAGAGGAGGCUUCCCAAAGAGGUGAAGACGCUGCCAUCUUUCCUGAUCCUGUUGACCCUUCUCUUUCAUUGGAUGAUGAAGAAGAAGGAGUGGCCAUUGUUGCACCUUUCUCAGGAGAAGAGAAUUCAAAGAAGCUGAACUGUCAUGGUGAAUGUCGAGGGCCAGAGCUGAUCUUGGAAAAACUUGCUGAAACUUUGGGCUGAAGUGUGUGGACUUUGACAAGUAAACUGCUACAGGACGGCUGUGUGUGCUAGAGCGCCCGGAGUGGGGCCGAGGGGUCAGGUGCUGUCAGGCAUAGAUUCUACAGGAGGAGCCACCCCUGUGGGUCAGGGUUGGGGACUGGUAUGGAAGGCUGGAGGAAGGUGGUAUUCUGAACAUUGGUGAGUGGUCUGAGUGGUCUGAACUCUACAUUGGUGAGUGGUCUGAGAAAUGUGUACAGUUCAACUUUUCUUGUGGUUUCCCUUUGUGUUAUGAGGACCCUCUUUCAUUUCCUGGGCCACUGCCAUUUGGCAGGCACUAGGUGCUGGAGACAGAUAUACCAAGGAUAUAGGCGGCAUGAUGCUUUUCUUAAUGGGGCUUACAGAGUUGGCGGGGCAAGGCAUAAUAAACACAAAAGCAAAGAAAUGUACACAGUAUGUUCAAGUCACGAUAAUGGCUGUGCAAGAAAUACAAGUGGUGGGGGGAGCACCUCAGGGGACAGGGGAGGAAUUGGACAGUGAGUGAGGAGGGGCAAUCUGAGCUGAGACGUUAGACAUGGGGUCACCAGCCAAGGGCAGACCUGGAGCGGGGGACUCUGGGCAGAGCAAGAAGCAAAUGCAUAGACCCAAAGGCGGAAAGAAGCUGCGCAUCCUGGAGGCACGGUAAGGGCUGAGGUUGGGACCUAGAAAGUGAGGGGAGAGAGGCCGGAUGGAGAGCACGGGAAGAGGUCGGCAGGAGCCCAAUCUGGAGACUGAUGGAAAAAUUCCGGGGUUUAAGUGUUAUUGGAGAGUUCAUGCAAUACAAGAUAUAACUUAUGUUUUUAGAAGUUGUUCUGAUUGCUGAGGGAGAAUAGAUUUUGGGGUAGGACGAAGAGCAGAAUCUGAAAAAUCAGUUAGGAGCCUAUUGCACUAAUCAAAUGACACAGAAUGAGGCCUGGCUGGCAUGAGGGUUUUCUUGGUGGUGGUGAGGAGAAGUGUUGAUUUGGGGAUUUUUGGAGGUAGACAUCACAGGAUUUGCUACUUUUAGAGUAAGGUUUUGUAUCCUCACCUCCCACACGUGCCACCCUCCAGAGACAUUAGCCACAUGCACAUACCUUGUGCAGUGGUAACGUAGGGGCUGACGUGUUGGGGCGGCACAGGCCAGCCUCACCUGCCCCUUGUUUACCUGCCGCCCAGGCCCAUCGGCAGCUCCCUGACAGCCACGGGCCUAGAAUGUUAGAUGUGACUGGCUGCAGCGAGCGUUGGGAGCAGGUAUUAAAUGCAGAAAAGAGUUGCCAACAGAGGCCUCUUUCUGCCCCCGGCCCUGCACGAUGCAUUUUGUACGGGCCAGAAGGAAGGCAUACAUGUUGGCAUGGGAUAUGGGAGUCGGCCUGUUAGCCUUUCUCCCAGAGAACGCAGUGAGCCUUAGGAGUCAGCUCCGAGGCUCAGCCGGGGCCCCCGGUCAGCACAUUCUUUGGGCUCAUGCAAAAGGGCAAAGCCGAGAAUAUUCACAACCACAGAGAAAUGGCCUCAUAAAAAUGCAUAAGAGUGUGCAUGGGGAGGGAUGGCUUGGAUGAAAAAAAAAAAGCAGUGUUUACAUACUGUUACACUAAAAAUAUUCACACCUCAUCAAAUUGUCAGUCUUGUGUGCUGGCAACAAUGGGGUUUUUCCCUCUGUAAGGUGUAAUAGCUCUCAGCAGAGCGCUGAGCAUGUUGUCUCAUUAAUCCUUCCCAGAUCCCAGCAAGGUGGGUGGUGAGGGUCAGGUUUCCCGUUGCAGCAGAGAAAAACAGAUCAAGAGUCACUGUCUCCCUCCUCUCUCCUCACAAGGUAGAGCGCAUUUGCCAGCUCAUGUCUGAAGCUUUACUAGUCCACUGUGGCUCUUGUAGCUUGGCCCUUCCCAAUGUCAUCUCGUCCAUCACUCUGGUGCUGAUGGGGAGAUGGAGAUCAGAGGGCGGACAGGACGCCAGUUCAGCAAGGCCUGUCUGCAACUCAGUGCUGAAACCACGCAGGCUCGGUAGUUCCCUGCUUAGACAGAGGUGGGAUGAGUCAGGGCACAAGCCUGUGUAGACGCCGCCUCAAGCAUUGUGUACGUGAGCAUUUCUCUAGUCACUAUGCCAACCUCCUAAGGUCGGUUUUAAUUAUUUCAUUAUGAUUAUCGUUGAUAAUUACGGUUGCCCAGAUGAGAAUUACAAAGGUCAAGGUGCGUGUAAAUUCUGCACUCAAACCCGAAUGUAUUAUCUGACGCCAAGGCUGUUACUAUGUGAGACAUCACCCUACCCUUCACUUGGUAUCCACUGGACCGACUGACGUGUAGCAGAAGCCCAGGGGUGUUCCUUUAUCGAUGUGGUCUCGCGAAGAGGCAGCGUGGACUUGGAUGGAUGGCAGGUGGAGUUCAGACCGACGGCGAUGCAAAUGCAGGUAUCCUUCUCGCUAGAUGGGCACCCUUGGGAGAGGCAGGAAGCAUUCCUAGCCUCACUGUUCUCAUCCCCAAAACAAACAAUAAAAGAUACCCACGGGAGGAAAAAGGCGGCAAUAAAAUAGUAGCACAGAAAGAGGCGGUCUCCCAGAAGGACUACUACACUCUUGUGGAUUCUUUCCGCUCCUUCCCGUAACAGCAGGUUUGCGUGUUUUCUUUCAAUAAUCUUGAGAGAAAAAAACAAAAACAAAACCCUUUCUAUAUUGUUUUGAAUUUACUCCCUAGAAUGGACUUAUCUAUAGUGUCCAACAAGUUCACAUUUUUUCCUUUGUUUUUCACUGGUUGUCAGCCUCUGCUGGUCAUAUUGUGGACCAUUGAGUCAGAUUAUUCAAACUUCUUGGUUGCAGGGACAUUGUCGCCAGCCCACGGACCACUGAAUAUGUAUCGAGCAUGUAGAUAUCGGUGGGAUCCUGAAAGCUACAGCUUCGUGAGCCCAAGGGAGCCAGCAGGGGCCACUUUAACACUUAUGGAAAUUUGGGAAUGUUCUUACCUUCUUUGUGCUUUAGUUUUCUCACCUACAUGAUGGGCGUAUGGGUGGAAAGGUUUGAGAAGAUGGAGAUGAUGUUCUAGAGUACUGCUCAGCACCUGGCUUUUAUUAAGGGGUUAGUAUGAGUGAUUAGUCAUUAGUAUCACUCACUGAAAUAUUUAGUUAUAGGAAACUUGUAAGUUAAUGAUUUCCAAUGCAAUAUGGUAUUAUAUAUAAUGGUCAUGCACAUAUUCAACAUGUCUUUAAAUUUUUUUAUAUUAAAUAUUAAAUAAAAUAUUAAUUUUAAAAUAUGCAUGCAUUAUGUAAAAUAUAAAUAAAAUGAAUACCUAUAUACUAUUACUCAUUAUUUUGAAACCCACUGUAUAUGAGGUCUGUCCAGAAGGUAUCCAGCCAUGUAAUAUUAAAAAUAGAGACCUAUAUUGAAGAAGAUACAAGAUACAAGAAAUAGUGUACAUAGGAAAAUGACGCCUCAGUCUCUUUCAAGUAGGUACCAUGGGACCUCACACAGUUCUCCCAU